rnacentral:sRNA from 1 species
ACACGAGGAAGGAGGUGGUCCGAGUUGAGUUACUCAGGGACAUGUGAGGUGACCAUCCGCUGACGCGGAGUGCCAUCUGAUAUCCGCUCAGGAGGUCUCUGCACCGCGAAUACCAGGUGGUCACCCGGCCCCCGCACCCGACCCGUCCGGUCGACACGCCCGAUGCCUCGGGCGGUGCGGGGGCCGUUUCAC